AGCAUGCGAGUUGCGAGUCUGCGAGUUACGAGUCUUCGAGUUGCGAGUCUGCGAGUUGCGAGUCUGCGAGUUGCGACAAAAAUUGUGCAAGUUGCAACAAAAAUUGUGUUUGCCUAGUUUGAAAAAAUCAUGAUAUUUGAAACCAAAAUACCCUGCCAUCCGCCAUCUUGUUUAUAAUUGGAUCUAUUUAAAUGCCGUCACAAC